rnacentral:rRNA from 1 species
UACAGAGGUCUCAACCGUUGUUCGGAUUCAUUGGGCGUAAAGGGUGCGUAGGCGGCGGGGUAAGUCAGGUGUGAAAUCUCGGGGCUCAACCCCGAAACUGCACUUGAUACUGCCUCGCUUGAGUACUGGAGAGGAGACUGGAAUUUACGGUGUAGCAGUGAAAUGCGUAGAUAUCGUAGGAAGACCAGUGGCGAAGGCGA